CCAAAGGGGCAAUGUGAGGAAAAUGAAUGCCAUUGAAAAUAAUAUGCUCAGAAAAGCUCUUUGUGUGCACCAAGUCUGGACCUAUAACAUGGAAGAUUACGAUCCACUAACCCUCCAGAUGACAGAAGCAAAGGAAGUUAAUUUGCUUGGGGUGAAAAUAGUUAAGCAGAUGUCAUAAUAACAGUGAAAGAAUACAUGCUUUAAACAGUUGAGAAAAACUAAGGAUUACAGUGACGCCAAGCAAGGGCCAAGAUGUGGUCAAAACUUUGUGCUAACCUGCCC